rnacentral:misc_RNA from 1 species
CAACCCUCAAGCCUGGCUUGGUGUUGGGGCACUGCUUCGAGAGAAGCAGGCCCUGAAAUCUAGUGGCGAGCUCGCUAGGACCCCGGGCGUAGUAGUUAUAUCUCGUUCUGGAAGGCCCUGGCGGUGCCCUGCCGUUAAACCCCCAACUUCUGAAA